rnacentral:rRNA from 1 species
AGAAUCAACGCUGGCGGCGUGCCUCAGACAUGCAAGUCGAACGAUUAAACUUUCCUUCGGGAAAGAUAUAAAGUGGCGCACGGGUGAGUAACACGUAGGUAAUGUACCUUUGGGUGGGGAAUAACUUAGGGAAACUUAAGCUAAUACCGCAUAAUGCAGCGGCUCCUUCGGGAGACAGUUGUUAAAGAUUUAUCGCCUAAAGAGCAGCCUGCGGCAGAUUAGCUAGUUGGUAAGGUAACGGCUUACCAAGGCUACGAUCUGUAUCCGACCUGAGAGGGUGGUCGGGACACGACUGACACUGAAUAACGGGUCAGACUCCUACGGAGGCAGCAGUCGGGAAUUUUGGGCAAUGGGCGAAAGCCUGACCCAGCAACGCCGCGUGAAGGAUGAAGUCUUUCGGGAUGUAAACUUCGUAAGAAUAGGAAGAAUAAAUGACGGUACUAUUUGUAAGGUCCGGCUAACUACGUGCCAGCAGCCGC